UUGAACGCUGGCGGCAUGCCUUACACAUGCAAGUCGAACGGUAACAGGUCUUCGGAUGCUGACGAGUGGCGAACGGGUGAGUAAUACAUCGGAACGUGCCCGAUCGUGGGGGAUAACGAGGCGAAAGCUUUGCUAAUACCGCAUACGAUCUACGGAUGAAAGCGGGGGAUCUUCGGACCUCGCGCGGACGGAGCGGCCGAUGGCAGAUUAGGUAGUUGGUGGGAUAAAAGCUUACCAAGCCGACGAUCUGUAGCUGGUCUGAGAGGAUGAUCAGCCACACUGGGACUGAGACACGGCCCAGACUCCUACGGGAGGCAGCAGUGGGGAAUUUUGGACAAAGGGCGAAAGCCUGAUCCAGCCAUGCCGCGUGCAGGAUGAAGGCCUUCGGGUUGUAAACUGCUUUUGUACGGAACGAAAAGCCUCUUUCUAAUAAAGAGGGGUCAUGACGGUACCGUAAGAAUAAGCACCGGCUAACUACGUG
rnacentral:rRNA from 1 species